GUCCUUAGUUACCAGCACGUUAUGGUGGGCACGUCUAAGGAGACUGCCGGUGACAAACCGGAGGAAGGUGGGGAGUGACGUCAAGUCAUCAUGGCCCUUACGGCCUGGGCUACACACGUGCUACAAUGGUCGGUACAAAGGGUUGCCAAGCCGCGAGGUGGAGCUAAUCCCAUAAAACCGAUCGUAGUCCGGAUCGCAGUCUGCAACUCGACUGCGUGAAGUCGGAAUCGCUAGUAAUCGUGAAUCAGAAUGUCACGGUGAAUACGUUCCCGGGCCUU
rnacentral:rRNA from 1 species